UCUUGUUGCCCAGGCUGGUCUCAAACUCCUGCGUUCAAAUGAUACUCUCGCCUUGGCCUCCAAAAGUGUUGGGAUUGCAGACCUGAGCUACUAUGCCUGGCUGAAUUCUAUUUCUAUUGGAUUGGUUGUAAAGAAGUGCAUUGUAGCCUGCAAAGGAGCAGGGCCAGUGGGGUGGAGAGGGCAGAAGUGCUACAGAGGCCCCUGCUCUCCACUGCCCUGACUGCUACUGUGCUGGAUGCCGUGUGAACCACAGCUGCAUCUGGAGGCCUUGGGCAGUGUGAAUUUUGAAUACUUUGGGAGGCCGAGGCGGGCGGAUCACAAGGUCAAGAGAUCAAGACCAGAGCCAAGAUGGCCGAAUACGAACAGCUCCGGUCUACAGCUCCCAGCGUGAGCGACGCAGAAGACGGGUGAUUUCUGCAUUUCCAACUGAGGUACCGGGUUCAUCUCACUGGGGAGUGCCAGACAGUAGGCGCAGGAUGGUGGGUGCAGCACACCAUGCAUGAGCCAAAGCAGGGCAAGGCAUCGCCCCACC
rnacentral:lncRNA from 10 species